rnacentral:rRNA from 1 species
AAUCAACGCUGGCGGCGUGCCUCAGACAUGCAAGUCGAACGAUUAAGACUUCCUUCGGGAAGUGCAUAAAGUGGCGCACGGGUGAGUAACACGUAAGUAAUCUACCCUCGAGUGGGGAAUAACAGUCGGAAACGACUGCUAAUACCGCAUAAUGCAGCGGCACCGCAAGGUGACAGUUGUUAAAGGAGCAAUCCGCUUGAGGAGGAGCUUGCGGCAGAUUAGCUAGUUGGUAAGGUAACGGCUUACCAAGGCUACGAUCUGUAUCCGGUCUAAGAGGACGGUCGGACACACUGACACUGAAUAACGGGUCAGACUCCUACGGGAGGCAGCAGUCGGGAAUUUUGGGCAAUGGGCGAAAGCCUGACCCAGCAACGCCGCGUGAAGGAUGAAGUAUUUCGGUAUGUAAACUUCGAAAGAAUAGGAAGAAUAAAUGACGGUACUAUUUAUAAGCUCCGGCUAACUACGUGCCAGCCGCCGCAGUAAGAC